GACUGCGGCUCUACAAUGCAGUCGAACGGUCACAUGGGAGCUUGCUCCCUGAUGUUAGCGGCGGACGGGUGAGUAACACGUGGGUGACCUGCCUGUAAAACUGGGAUAACUCCGGGAAACCGGGGCUAAUACCGGAUGGUUGUUUGAACCGCAUGGUUCAAACAUAAAAGGUGGCUUCCGCUACCACUUACACAUGGACCCGCGGCGCAUUAGCUAGUUGGUGAGGUAACGGCUCACCAAGGCCACGAUGCGUAGCCAACCUGAGAGGGUGAUCGGCCACACUGAGACUGAGACACGGCCCAUACUCCUACGGGAGGCAGCAUAUUGGAAUCUUCCGCAAUGGACGAAAGUCUGACGGAGCAACUCCGCGUGAGUGAUGAAGGUUUUCGGAUCGUUAGCUCUGUUGUUAGGGAAGAACAAGUACCGUUCCAAUAAGGCGGUACCUUGACGGUACAUAACCAGAAAGCCACGGCUAACUACGUGCCAGCAGCCGCGGUAAUGCGUACGUGGCAAGCGUUGUCCGGAAUUAUUGGGCGUAAAGGGCUCGCAUGCGGUUUCUUAUGUCUGAUGUGAAAGCCCCCGGCUCAACCGGGGAGGGUCAUUGGAAACUGGGGAACUUGAGUGCAGAAGAAGAGAGUGGAAUUCCACGUGUAUGCGGUGAAAGCUGUAGAGAUGUGGAGGAACGCCAGUGGCGAACGCGACUCUCUGUGUCUGUAACUGACGCUGAGCGAGCGGAAGCGUGGGGAGCGAACACGAUUAGAUACCCUGGCUAGUCCACGACCGUCAUACUAUGAGUGCUUACUGUUUAUGGAGGUUUCCUGCCCCCAUUAGCUGCUGCAGCUAACGACAUUCACAUCAGCGUACCGAACCUUGGGGGGGCAGCUAACGGGUUCGAACAAUC
rnacentral:rRNA from 1 species